UACGGGGGGAGCAAGCGUUGUUCGGAUUUACUGGGCGUAAAGGGCGCGUAGGCGGCGUGACAAGUCACUUGUGAAAUCUCCGGGCUUAACUCGGAACGGUCAAGUGAUACUGUCGUGCUAGAGUACAGAAGGGGCAACUGGAAUUCUCGGUGUAGCGGUGAAAUGCGUAGAUAUCGAGAGGAACACCUGCGGCGAAGGCGGCUCUCUGGUACGUGACUGACGCUGAGACGCGAAAGCGUAGGGAGCAAACAGG
rnacentral:rRNA from 1 species